AUACGUAGGGGGCGAGCGUUGUCCGGAAUGACUGGGCGUAAAGGGCGUGUAGGCGGCGGUGUAAGUCUGGAGUGAAAGUCCCGCAUUCAAUGUGGGAAUUGCUUUGGAUACUGCAGUGCUAGAGUGCGGAAGAGGUAAGUGGAAUUCCCAGUGUAGCGGUGAAAUGCGUAGAGAUUGGGAGGAACACCAGUGGCGAAGGCGACUUUCUGGCUGACAACUGACGCUGAGGCGCGAAAGCACGGGGAGCAAACAGGAUUAGAUACCCUGGUAGUCCGUGCCGUAAACGAUGAAUACUAGGUGUAGGGGGUAUCGACUCCCUCUGUGCCGCAGUUAACACAUUAAGUAUUCCACCUGGGGAGUACGGCCGCAAGGUUGAAACUCAAAGGAAUUGACGGGG
rnacentral:rRNA from 1 species